rnacentral:ncRNA from 1 species
UUUCGUUCUCGGGGCGGGGUGUAAUUCCCCACCGGCGGUAAGGAAGUGAUUCUAAGCCCGCGAGCGCCUGAUAUAGUUAACAUAAUAUAUAUUAGGGUCAGCAGAUCUGGUGUGAUUCCAGAGCCGACGGUGAUAGUCCGGAUGAUAGAGAACACUA